rnacentral:rRNA from 1 species
GAAAAGAACUUUGAAGAGAGAGUUAAAAAGUACGUGAAACCUCUCGGGGGUAAGCGGGCAGAACUUGCAAGUAUUGACGGUAACAUUCAGGCUUGUUGUUGGCGGCUGAGRRUGUAAAUUAUGUUGUUCCUUCGGGAGCUGACUGAUGUGCGCCUUUUGUUCUGUUGACGACACGCCGCAUUUGUUGCUGUCUUCGGGUUGCAUGCGACUGAGGUUGGUAGUUUAGGUGCUGGGGUCCUGCAAAUCCUUGUGGUUUGAGUCCUGGUUUCCAACUACUCGUGCGGUCGUUGAAAGCGAGCAGGCGUUUAUCGCGGUCAUCUUCUUUGACGAGUUGGGUGCAUGUGAUGUGUGGACGGGUAACCGUAGCAUGUUGUAUGUACCUGCUGUCAGUCAGAGUUGUGUGGCACUGUUCAGUAUUGCAAUCUCAAGCAUGCGUGGUCUGCCUGUCCCGUCUUGAAACACGGACCAAGGAGUCUAACAUGUGCGCGAGUCAUUGGGAAUUUGUAAACCCAAAGGCGGAAUGAAAGUGAAGAUUCGAUUGCGAAUUUGAGGAGAGAUCCCGGCUCUGUGUAGCAUUCCGCAAGGUUUGUUGCGCAGGGUGGGCGCAUCUCCGGGACGUCUAUACCUCUGAAGGUGGGGCGUACCUAGAGCGUACACGUUGG